GUCACUGUUCAGGGUGCCACCCUAGCAGUUUUGUCCAGACUCCUGGUCCAUCACACUCUGCUCCUGGCUGGCUAGGGAUGUCGGUAGCCAAGCCUGCAGAUGUCUACCCUCCCCCAUUUCCAUGGAUAGAGGGCAGAUUGGCAGCAGAUUCGGGCACUAGGAGGAGAAGCAGAAUCAUGACACAUAAGCAGGAGUAAGCUGACAAGGAGGCAAGAAAACCAUGCCAGCCCAGACAGCUGCCAGAAGGACAAGCAGCAGGCAAACCAUGAGAGGCCAAAAGCCAGCAAACCAGGAUGCAAAGGAAAGGGACUCUGGACAAAGUGGCCUCCCUGCCUUUAGGUCUCGAUCAUGAAUUGGCCAAAGUUUGGGUGCAUGAGCCUUUGGGUGAGCUCCCUGUAACCCAGAAAUAGGUCUUUGUCCUUGAUGCUGUUGUACUUCUGCAGCAGGCAGGUGGACAACCCUGUAAACAAGGCGUGUGUCACUGCCACCUCAUUCGUAAAGCCCGCAAAUCUGGUUGGUGGUCUUCUGCAGCACAGCUGCCCUGUAAUCAGGGUUCAGGCCAGCUGCCAGAUAUGGCUACCGAUGGCACAGGCUCCCAUAAGUGGGGUGUGUGCUGCCUCCUACCAGAGGAAAAGGACAGUGGAUUUGGACGUGUGUAACGCUGGAUGCCCUGUAACUGGGAGGCUACAUGCACUGCCAAAGCCAGCCAGUCGGAGAGGUGACCCUGUAAUCAGGGUGGGCAUAGCCUCCUUCCGUUGGUGUGAGAUAGCCAGAGCAGUCUGCAGCAUUGUGCCACAGGGCAGCCUUGCAGACAGGAGCUGAGUCUCGUGGGGUGAUGGCAAACUCCUUAGAACCCAGAGCUUGAGGACCUUCCCGUGGCUGAGUUGAAGCCUGUGGCCUCCACCCCCUUCCUUGUGUCCAGGCACCUGUCCUUCCUGCAUCUGUGCCUAGCACUCCACAUCUGGAUGGCUGGGCUGCCUUGUAAUGAGGGUGUGAGUCCUGAGUCCCUGGUGGAGGGCGAGGUUCCGCAGAGCUGUGGACCUCCAUGUAAGCAGGGUGCAGGUCUCAAUGUGCCUUUGAGGACAGCUCUGUCCUUUCACUGGCUGUGGGACCUCCCUGUAAGCAGGGCUCUGAGCCUUUCCCUUUUAUCCAUUGUGAGCAGUGUGGCUAGUCAGACGGACCGUGUCCUAUAAGGAGGGUGCAAGUCCUGUGCCUCUGGGGGAGGGCUAGGUUCUGCAGAGCUGUGGACCACCCUGUAAGCAGGGUGCAAGUCUCGCUGUGCCUUUGGGAACAGCUUUGUCCUUUGGCUGCCCUGUUGGCCCUCCCUGUAAGCAGGGCUCUGGGCCUUUCCCUUUUGCCCCCUGAGGGCAGUCUGUCUGACUAGUCAGGUGGACCGUGCCCUGUAAGGAGGGUGCUGGUCUCAGCCUUCUUUCCCCCUGGGAGCGGAGGAAGAUUUUCCAGUGGAAGGCUAGAGGUUAAGCGGUUUGCAGCACGGAGCUCCUUUCCAGCCUGGAAACAGUCUUUUUCCCUUGUCAGUGUGGACAGCGAGAGAGAGGAGUGCCUGGGAGCAAAAGCAUUUGUUAUUUUCUUUUUGUUCUUAAAAUAGUUGUAGUGUACUUUAUUUUCUUCCCAGUGCUGGAAAAGGGGCGAGAUGCGUCCUCGUAGUCUUCUCCUCCCACUUCCUCACCUAGGGGGUUAAGCACUGCUAUAAAUUCUUGUGCCUUCUGGCCUGGGGGAGCAUUAGGCCACCCCCAAUAAUUUCGGAAACAUGACCUCCCUGU